UACGGGGGGAGCAAGCGUUGUUCGGAUUUACUGGGCGUAAAGGGCGCGUAGGCGGUCGUGACAAGUCACUUGUGAAAUCUCCGGGCUUAACUCGGAACGGUCAAGUGAUACUGUCGGACUAGAGUACAGAAGGGGCAACUGGAAUUCUCGGUGUAGCGGUGAAAUGCGUAGAUAUCGAGAGGAACACCUGCGGCGAAGGCGGGUUGCUGGGCUGAUACUGACGCUGGGGCGCGAAAGCGUGGGGAGCAAACAGG
rnacentral:rRNA from 1 species